UGAUCGAAAUUAAAUUUUUAGGACAGACACAUGGGUUGCCGCAUCCACUUUGAAAGUGAGUCAACACUACAGUGCUUCUCACCAUUUUCAGAUGCCCCGGAUGCGUUCCAAGUGUUAGAAUUGGCAUAGAUAAAUUCGAACUCCAAAUGCCCUAUUUUACCUAAGGUUGGGUUCAGAAUAAAAAUUCAGAAAAUAUUUGUGGGAAGCCAAAAAAUUAUAAUUCCUUUUACAAUAGUUUAAUAACAUCGUUAAGAACUGUAGAGCAUAUUUAUAGAAUUUUUGAAGUUGGUUUGGAUGAUUUUUGAAAAAUAUUAGUUUUAAACCU
rnacentral:misc_RNA from 1 species